rnacentral:tRNA from 1 species
AGCACCAGUGUCUAGUGGUUGAAUAGUACCCUGCCACUGUACAGAUGCGGGUUCGAUUCCUGUUGGUGCAA